UGAUUGGUGCUUGCAUCAUGAUUUACAUUUGAGUGAGUGGCGAACUGGUGAGUAACACGUGGGAAACCUGCCCAGAAGCGGGGGAUAACACCUGGAAACAGAUGCUAAUACCGCAUAACAACUUGGACCGCAUGGUCCGAGCUUGAAAGAUGGCUUCGGCUAUCACUUUUGGAUGGUCCCGCGGCGUAUUAGCUAGAUGGUGGGGUAACGGCUCACCAUGGCAAUGAUACGUAGCCGACCUGAGAGGGUAAUCGGCCACAUUGGGACUGAGACACGGCCCAAACUCCUACGGGAGGCAGCAGUAGGGAAUCUUCCACAAUGGACGAAAGUCUGAUGGAGCAACGCCGCGUGAGUGAAGAAGGGUUUCGGCUCGUAAAACUCUGUUGUUAAAGAAGAACAUAUCUGAGAGUAACUGUUCAGGUAUCGACGGUAUUUAACCAGAAAGCCACGGCUAACUACGUGCCAGCAGCCGCGGUAAUACGUAGGUGGCAAGCGUUGUCCGGAUUUAUUGGGCGUAAAGCGAGCGCAGGCGGUUUUUUAAGUCUGAUGUGAAAGCCUUCGG
rnacentral:rRNA from 1 species